rnacentral:rRNA from 1 species
GACGGAGGGUGCUAGCGUUGUCCGGAAUUAUUGGGCGUAAAGGGCUCGUAGGCGGUCUGUCACGUCGGGAGUGAAAACACGGGGCUUAACCCCGUGCCUGCUUCCGAUACGGGCAGACUAGAGGUAUGCAGGGGAGAACGGAAUUCCUGGUGUAGCGGUGAAAUGCGCAGAUAUCAGGAGGAACACCGGUGGCGAAGGCGGUUCUCUGGGCAUUACCUGACGCUGAGGAGCGAAAGUGUGGGGAGCGAACAGG